UUGAAAGCCUGAAGGCAGUGAGGAACUGAGCUACAUGGCUACAUGGGGAGAAGAACACUCCAGGAAGGGAGAAAAGCCAGUGCAGAGGGACUCUGCCUGGUUUAAAGAGAAAUGGUUGGAGUGAAGUAAGCAGGAGGGAAAACAGAAGGAAAAGAUCAACUGUCCAAAACUUCCCAGGAUUGAGGGGGGGAAAAAAUCAGCUUUUGGCAUUCCUUUGUUUACUGUCUGCCACAACAGCUUGAUUAUUCCACAAGAGCGAAGACCUUGCCUGUACAUAUAUCCAGCAGCUAAAACACUUCCCCAGAACACAGGUUCUGGUGGCCAUAACUGACACGACGUGUACAUUCUUUUAGCUUCCUUUUGAUGCUCAGUCAAUGACCUAAUUCACAAAGGAAAACCAAGAUAUACAAGAGUUAAGUGCUUUUGACAGUUAUCAGAAAGUUAGUCGAUGCUGGGACUUAGAAGCUGGCCCAGCAGAGCACAAAGAAAUGUGAUUCAGAGUCCAAUACAACUGGGUUCAAAUCACUGUUCCACUGCAUGGCUGGGAUACAUUCGCUCAUCUCUCUAAAACCUCACUUUACCUAUUUAUAAAAUGGGAUUAAGAAUUCUUACCUCAACGUGUUGCUGAUGGGAUUCAAUAAGAUUGUAUUUAUAGAACAUCCAGGUAGGGUUAGGUGCACAGACAGAGGUUAACAGUUGCAGAAGCAGAGAGGCUGCUGCUUCUUCCUUUCACCCACUUCCUGGUUCUUUGUCCACUACCCUUUCCCCUGAUCUCAAAAGAAACUGGCUACCCAAAUCAUCUUCGUCAUCAUCAUCAUCAUCAUCAUCAUCUUCAUCAUUUCAUUUUAUUUUUGUAUGGACGAAUUAAGUUGAGCAACAUGCAUUCCAUUUUACUACAUGGGCAGUGAUGGUGGCAGUACCCAGAACUCUGCAGUCAUUUCCUGUCAUCACGUGGUUUCCAUAUUCAAGUCCACAAGUAACAAUAAUGAUGAUGAUGGGCAGUGGGGGUUGGUGGCAGUGGUGACAGCUAUCACUGAGUGCUUACCACAUGCCAGGCACAGUUAUGUACAGUAAGUCACUGAAUCCUCAGGAUAAACCAGCAAGACUGGUAUUAGUAUUACCUCACGAUGCAGUUGAGAAAACUGAGCCACAAAGAGGUGAAGUGGUUUGUUCAGGUUGUACGACUAGUCAAAGGCAGAACUGGAUUUCAAACCCACUACGCAAUAGUGUCUGUCUCUCCUAUACCGAGGUGACAUACAUAGAGCAGGCGAGCAGGUUAAGAAAAUCACACACGGUAGUCCCAAGCACUUUAGCAGGCACUUUUGCAGUAGGCAAAUGGAGGUAUUUUUUUAAGAGCUCUCUUUGCUCUUCACAUCCCACUGAAACAAGCAGGAAAACGGCAUUUCCCUGGGUUCCCAUAAUCCUGUUCAAACGAUAAAAUAUUGACAAACAAGGCAGGCUGAAUGAGAACUG
rnacentral:lncRNA from 1 species